AUUGAACGCUGGCGGCAGGCCUAACACAUGCAAGUCGAACGGUAACAGGAAGAAGCUUUCUUCUUUGCUGACGCGUGGCGCGGGGGUGUGAAGUGUCUGGGAAACUCUCUGUUGGAGGGGGAUAAAUACUGGAAACGGUAGCUAAUACCGCAUAAAGUCGCAAGACCAAAGAGGGGGACCUUUGGGCCUCUUGCCAUCGGGUGUGCCCAGAUGGGAUUUGCUAGUGGGGGGGGUAACGGCCCACCCAGGCGACGAUCCCUAGCUGGUCUGAGAGGAUGACCAGCCACACUGGAACUGAGACACGGUCCAGACUCCUACGGGAGGCAGCAGUGGGGAAUAUUGGACAAUGGGCGCAAGCCUGAUGCAGCCAUGCCGCGUGGAUGAAGAAGGCCUUCGGGUUGUAAAGUACUUUCAUCGGGGAGGAAGAGAGUAAGGUUAAUACCUUUGUUCAUUGACGUUACCCACAGAAGAAGCACCGGCUAACUCCGUG
rnacentral:rRNA from 1 species